CGAGGAAUCUUGGUCAAUGGGCGCAAGCCUGAACCAGCGACGCCGCGUGGGGGAUGACGGCCCUUGGGUUGUAAACCCCUUUUCUCCGGGACGAAGGUCUGACGGUACCGGAGGAAUCAGCCACGGCUAACUACGUGCCAGCAGCCGCGGUAAUACGUAGGUGGCGAGCGUUGUCCGGAUUUAUUGGGCGUAAAGCGCGUGCAGGUGGUUGUCUAAGUCCGAUGUGAAAUCUCCCGGCUUACCUGGGAGGGGGCGUGGGAGACUGGACGACUGGAGGCAGGGAGAGGCCGGUGGAAUUCCCGGUGUAGUGGUGAAAUGCGUAGAGAUCGGGAGGAACACCAGUGGCGAAAGCGGCCGGCUGGACCUGACCUGACGCUGAGACGCGAAAGCGUGGGGAGCGAACCGG
rnacentral:rRNA from 1 species